rnacentral:sRNA from 1 species
AACCUAAUGAAAUGUGUACUCGUUUGUGC